rnacentral:rRNA from 1 species
ACGCUGGCGGCGUGCUUAACACAUGCAAGUCGACGAAGAGCGACCGGUGCUUGCACUGGUCAAUCUAGUGGCGAACGGGUGAGUAACGCGUAAUCAACCUGCCCUUCAGAGGGGGACAACAGUUGGAAACGACUGCUAAUACCGCAUACGAUUCAAUCUCGGCAUCGAGACUGGAUGAAAGGUGGCCUCUAUUUAUAAGCUAUCACUGAAGGAGGGGAUUGCGUCUGAUUAGCUAGUUGGAGGGGUAACGGCCCACCAAGGCGAUGAUCAGUAGCCGGUCUGAGAGGAUGAACGGCCACAUUGGGACUGAGACACGGCCCAGACUCCUACGGGAGGCAGCAGUGGGGAAUCUUCCGCAAUGGACGAAAGUCUGACGGAGCAACGCCGCGUGAGUGAUGACGGCCUUCGGGUUGUAAAGCUCUGUUAAUCGGGACGAAUGGUUCUUGUGCAAAUAGUGCGAGGAUUUGACGGUACCGGAAUAGAAAGCCACGGCUAACUACGUGCCAGCAGCCGCGGUAAUACGUAGGUGGCAAGCGUUGUCCGGAAUUAUUGGGCGUAAAGCGCGCGCAGGCGGAUUGGUCAGUCUGUCUUAAAAGUUCGGGGCUUAACCCCGUGAUGGGAUGGAAACUGCCAAUCUAGAGUAUCGGAGAGGAAAGUGGAAUUCCUAGUGUAGCGGUGAAAUGCGUAGAUAUUAGGAAGAACACCAGUGGCGAAGGCGACUUUCUGGACGAAAACUGACGCUGAGGCGCGAAAGCCAGGGGAGCGAACGGGAUUAGAUACCCCGGUAGUCCUGGCCGUAAGCGAUGGGUACUAGGUGUAGGAGGUAUCGACCCCUUCUGUGCCGGAGUUAACGCAAUAAGUACCCCGCCUGGGGAGUACGACCGCAAGGUUGAAACUCAAAGGAAUUG